rnacentral:rRNA from 1 species
UACGGGAGGCAGCAGUGGGGAAUAUUGCACAAUGGGCGAAAGCCUGAUGCAGCUAUGCCGCGUGUAUGAAGAAGGCCUUAGGGUUGUAAAGUACUUUCAUCGGGGAGGAAAAAACAAAACUAAUAAUUUUAUUUCUUGACGUUACCCGAAAAAGAAGCACCGGCUAACUCCGUGCCAGCAGCCGCGGUAAUACGGAGGGUGCUAGCGUUAAUCAGAAUUACUGGGCGUAAAGAGCACGUAGGUGGUUUUUUAAAGUCAGAUGUGAAAUCCCUGGGCUUUAACCUAGGAACUGCAUUUUGAAACUGAAAUACUAGAGUAUCGUAGAGGGAGGUAGAAUUCUAGGUGUAGCGGUGAAAUGCGUAGAUAUCUGGAGGAAUACCUGUGGCGAAAGCGGCCUCCUAAACGAAUACUGACACUGAGGGUGCGAAAGCGUGGGGAGCAAACAGGGAUUAGAUAC